rnacentral:miRNA from 1 species
GUAUUAGGUUGGUGCAAAAUUAAUCGCGGUUUUUGUCAUGAAAAGUAACGGCAAAAGCCACAAUUACUUUUGCACCAACCUAAUA